rnacentral:misc_RNA from 1 species
GAUGAAGAACGUAGCGAAAUGCGAUAAGUAAUGUGAAUUGCAGAAUUCAGUGAAUCAUCGAAUCUUUGAACGCACAUUGCGCCCUCUGGUAUUCCGGGGGGCAUGCCUGUUCGAGCGUCAUUACAACCCUCAAGCUUUGCUUGGUAUUGGACAUUGCCAGUUUCUGGCAGGUCUUAAAAUCAGUGGCGGUGCCAUUUGGCUUCAAGCGUAGUAAUUCUUCUCGCUUUGGAGAUCCAAGUGGUUACUUGCCAAUAACCCCCAAUUUUUUCAGGUUGACCUCGGAUCAGGUAGGGAUACCCGCUGAACUUAAGCAUAUCAAUAAGCGGAGG